CCCGGCCUGACGCUCCCUCUGCAGCUGCUGCGGGAGAAGCAGACGACAAGAGUCAAGUUUAUCCUCCCCGGUGCCGCCUCAGCCUCCCUCCCCCGCAUCCACCAACUCCGCGCGCCCGCCCGGUACCUCGGCCGCGGCAGGAGCUCACCGCCCCAGGAACUCUGAUACGAAGCGUUCAAUACUGAUGAGCUGAACAGUGUCCAGCUUAAAGGGACCUUCCUUGAGGGUAUGCUUCGUUGACAUCCCAACAAUUUUUCAAUAUACUGUCUUAGAAGGAAGAAAAGUCAAGAUCAAGUGCAACGACCCAGUCCCAGGAAUAAAAGUCCCUGCUAAUACAGGGAAAAGCAGUGGAAGAUGGACCCUGCACCCACGUGGGAGACCCAGAGGAAACUCCUGGCUCCUGGCUUCAGUCUCGCCCAGACCUCGCCAUCACAGCCAUUUGAAGAGUGAACCAGUGGAUGGAAGACCUCUUUCUUGCUGACUCUGCCUCUUCCUCCCUGUAACUCCAUCUUUUAAAUAAAUAAAUACAUCUU